rnacentral:lncRNA from 1 species
UCUCAUUUUGGUUGAGUUUUGAGAUUGGAUAUGGUGGAAUAGAGAGGUUGAAGAAGAAGAUGUUUUCACCGAGAGAUAUAAAGUUGAUACUAAGUGAAAAAGAGAAAGGAUUGGGAACAUGUUCCCUUUUUUUUUAAUUUCCUUUUCCUAUUUUAAUUUAAAUUGGUUUCUCUUCCCUGCCACAUGUUACCUUCUCAUUGGAUGCUUUUGUUUAUGAGUUGGUCAAACCUAUUCCACAUGCUCGACCACCU